AUGAAUAUUAUUUUUUUUUUAUAGGUGAUUGGAAAUUUAAAAUGCCAAAGCUUCUUUUAGACAUUUAGGUAGAUUGAACUGUUGUGUUAUUCAACAUAUAUGUGUGUAUUUUUAGGGUAUAUUGGAAUAUUUGUCAGUCUGAUUGAGAUACAGAUAAUAUGUCCAUGCUUUGCUAACAAGGAUUUGCCUGCAAUGUGUUCUAACUUCUAUUUUUAAGAACUUUCAUGAUCAGGAUUCGCAGGUUUUGUUACAUUGAUAACACCUUCAAAAAUCUGAAGUCUGGAAUUUCAUUGACUGAUGUUAUAAUUACCAGAACAGAAAUUAGAAUGGAACGUUGCCAGAUCCUUGAAAACAGAGCAUGGACACAUGAUUUUGAUGAGAUCAGUAUUUUAAUCUGAUGGAAUAUUUGUAUGAUCAUACACUAAACAUAUCUGAAAUUUUUUUAGUAAAACUUGCAUUUUGCAGUACCAAAAUUAAAAAAAUUGAAAAAAUUACAUUGAAAGCAAGAAAUGGUAUUUCACCCAUUUAAUCACAUUGAAAUGUAUCCACUAUUAUAUAGUUUUAUUAUAUCUUUUCUUUAAUAUGUUAAAAAUAUUUUUUAUAGUUAUUUUUUUGUCAAACAUGACAUAGUAAACAGAGUUUUUUUUAAAGUGCCUGUUGUUGCAAUUUUUGUUGUUUAAGGUCAUAGAAUAAAUGUUCUAUCUUUGAAAUCAAAGUUUAAUUUUUUGUAAAUAUAUGUAUCUGCUAUUUAAGAUACUUUUGAUGUCUUUAUUGUAUAUAUUAAUUAUUGUUGAUUUAUUGUAUAUUUUAAUUGUUACUGUUUUCUGUGAUAUAAAUAAUUUUUCAAUAAAGUUGCAGAAAAUUC